ensembl:lncRNA
CCCGGAGCCCGCCUCCCUCCAGCCUCCUGCUUUCCUAAAACCUCCCCCAGGAGCCCCCAGGUGGGUUUCUAGCAAAGCAAUCAGAGCUCAAGAAAAGAUCUCCAGUAAAUCAUAAGGUCAAACUCUCCGUCUUCAGAUUGGUCCUGGCCCGAUGUCCUUAGGCAGGUGCUAAUAUGGAAGACGUUAACUACUUGAUGACCAGGAGCAUGAAGCCCCCAGACCUACUGGCUCCUAAGGAUUGAUCAUGAUAACCCCUGUGACCCCGCCCCAUGACCUCACCAUCAACCAAUCAGAGAACAGUACAUGAACUGGAACUCCCCUUCCUCACCUUCCCUGUGAAAAGGCUUGCCUGAACCUCUUGGGGGGAGUUUGGGGGGGUUGAUCACAAGCUGCCUUGGACUCCUUGCUUGGUGCCCUGCAAACACUGCUGCACUUUCCUUCACCAACACUGUGUCAGUAGAUUGGCUUGACUGCUGGAGGGCAAGCAGAUCCAGGUUUGGUUCAAUAACCCAUCACUGUGUAAUAAAGUAUCCUUCUCAGAGCACUGAGAAGGUCUCAGUCUGCAGGACUGCUUCAGUGAACUUGCAUCAUUUCCACGGAUCAAUCUCUAGGUUCAGGUGUUAAAAGAAUAAAUAAAUCUUGACCUCUGUCACCUGCCACUGGAGAAGAAAGGAAGCUUAAUACUUGGUGACAGCAUUAUCAGCAUCAGUACCUUGUCCUGCAAAGGCGGUGCUAGUGGUAAAGAACCUGCCUGCCAAUGCGGGAGAUGUAAGAAAUGCGGGUUCAAUUCCUGGGUGGGAAAGAUCCACUGGAGGAGGGCAUGGCAACCCACUCCAGUAUUCUUGCCUGGAGAAUCCCAUGGACAGAGAAGCCUGGCGGGCUAUGGUUCACAGGGUCACAAAGAGUCGGACGUGACUGAAUCGACUGAGCACACAGAACCUGCAAAACUCAGCCAAAGAAAUCUUGCUCCCCCCACCAAGUUCCGUUGAAAGUGGGUGACUUAAUAUCAGGAAAAUGUAGUUUUGUGACCACAAGAGAAAUUGUUUCAACAGUGAAAUGUCAAAUUCAAAAAAUUAACUUCUAAAUUUUUUAAUGUAACCUUAUAAGAUAAUCAAAUUGUUUUUGAGGAUAUGUCAGAUUUUUUUUGUAACCCAUGAACUUGGUCUUUGAUAUCCUGCUUCAGCAUUAACCAGGUAUCAAUUUUAACACCCAGUCACACCCGUUCAGUGAAAAUGAAUAUUCCAUGCAUCUGUAGUCACUGAGGACUCUGAGUCUGUCAGACUGAGUCUUCACAGUUCUGAAU